GUAAAGCCGAGCUGGAGCGGCAACGGGAGGAUCGGGGGAGCGAGGAAGGAGACACAAAAGAGGACAGCAGGGGAGGAAGAGGAGAGCUGCUGGACAGUGCUGCGAAGUUCCCCAGCUCAGUACAUGAUGUCACAAUGCCAUGCCCAGCUGUAGUCAUCAGACGCAGUGACAGGCCAUGUCUUCAGAUGGGAACUGAUCCCUCUGGGAAAAGAUAAAUGGAAGCAAAUGGAAAAUAUCAACAUAUGGAUGAAAAAGAAACAAACCAUUUACCACAGGAGCAGAAUAGAUGUAACAACAAAGAAAACAAGUGGGUCAUCCUUGCCAUCUGAGGAAGGGGCUUCGGUUUCAUCAACCAUCUAAUCUUUCCUGUUCACUUAACUACCAUGGCUCAUCACUUAGGAUCAUAGCCUUUAAUUCCACAAAAAUCAUCAAGAAUAUCUACAUUGCUCACCAAUCUACCCACCAUUUCUGUAUUCACAGUCACAAACAUGCAUUAAGUGUUAGAGGUUGUUGAUUUUUACCCACAAUAGGUAAAACAGCAGAGCACUAAGGAAUGAGCACACACUCCAGUUACACAGUAGGUAGCAGAGGAUGGUUCAGAUAUUGCAGCUAUUUAGAGAAAACACAUGGAGAUCCUUGUAUGACUAAACACUAAAUAUUUAUUGGUUAAAUACACUUAGAUAGGAAAGACCUAUCUCUAAUCUAAAGGACUACAUCGUGGAUAGGUAAGGAGAGAGAGAGAUGUUUCCAUCUACUCUCUAGGAGGAAAGGAAGGAUUGUGACUCAGCACAGGAAGUGCUGCAGAGUCAGUUCAGGGGUCAUAGAGUAGGGACAGAUAGGGAGACCCUGACUCACUGUCUCUACUCCCAAUGCCCCUAGUGGUCAUUAGGACAGUUGGUGCAAAAGGUUGAUGCACUGGAAGUUCAUCUCCAACAUUAAGUUCCUUUUUCAGUAUCAACAUGCACUGAAAGGAUGGGAACACCCCACACUUUUAUCACUCUCACCACUAUUAAAUAGGAUUUUCAAAAGGUGGUUAAUCUCUGGUGAGUGAAGAAUCAGGUGAUUACCUUUCUCCCCACCCCACCCCCCCACCCCCGCAGCUCAUUAUCUCUCUGCCAGUCACAGAACAGAGCGUUAUCAGGUCUAAGGAAUUUAACAGUUGGGGAACGGAGGAGGUCUAUAUCUGUGCUUAUUUGUUUGUUUAACUGAUGAUGUGUUACACUGAAAUGUUUUAUUUAUGUAUACCAACUUUGAUUUAUUUAUUUUGCAAUAAAGGAUCUUUAUUGUUGAGUGUUGAGGAGUUAAUAUGUGCAUUGCAUCAUCAAGAUAUCAACUUAUCUAGUGGGUUAGCUGAAGCAGGCAUCCAAGUGCAAAUUCAUACGACUAGCUUCUCACUCAACCUCCUCAUGUACUUUUGCUUCUGUGGGCAGAUGUAAUUUUUGACAAAAAUAAAUAUUAUGGUGUAUAUAUAGAAUAGUUCAGAGUUUUGGAUUAAGAUAUACUACUCUCUUCCUUGCUUUUUCCUAACAGUAAUUUUUAAAAAAUUGUUUUGUAAACCACUGAUACAAUUGUGUACAUUGCAAAAAAAAAAAAAAAGUCUGAUUGAUUGAUUGAUUUAGCCUAAUCAGUUUAGUUCCAAAUGCCUGUUCACUAUUGGUUCUAAAUGUUAUUACUUGGAUUCACAAUAAUGUGGGCAGUCUAAAAAUGGGAAAUGCUUAUAAAAAUUUGAUUUAGAAGGUAAGAGAUGCAGCACCUGUAAAAUACAUCUUCAUUAAUUUUGACUGCAUUUGCUUUUGUAUUUGAAAAUGCCAUUAACGUGUGGUACUGUUGAUCAGAUUUUGUUGCCUGAAGUCAAAUUACUGCUGCAGUAUAACUAGCUUUUGGUAAAACUGACUUGAAUUAUUCUCAGUGUUGUCUUUCUCUGGCUCUGGCAGUUACUUGUGUAUGCUGUCUUUUAAAUGGUGUGCUAUUUCUGCAUCUCCAGCUACUGAAGUGUGCCAUGGGUUA